rnacentral:rRNA from 1 species
UACAGAGGGUGCGAGCGUUGUUCGGAAUUAUUGGGCGUAAAGGGCGCGUAGGCGGCGCCACAAGUCACCUGUGAAAACUCUGGGGCUCAACCCAGAGCCUGCAGGCGAAAACUGUGGUGCUGGAGUAUGGGGAGAGGUGCGUGGAAUUCCCCGGUGUAGCGGUGAAAAUGCGUAGAUAUCGGGGAGGAACACCUGUGGCGAAAGCGGCGCACUGGACCAUAACUGACGCUGAGGCGCGAAAAGCUAGGGGGAGCAAACAGG